rnacentral:misc_RNA from 1 species
UGGACUUGGUGGCGGCGG